ACGAACGCUGGCGGCGUGCUUAACACAUGCAAGUCGAACGGAAAGGCCCUGCUUUUGUGGGGUGCUCGAGUGGCGAACGGGGGAGUAACACGUGAGUAACCUGCCCUUGACUUUGGGAUAACUUCAGGAAACUGGGGCUAAUACCGGAUAGGAGCUCCUGCUGCAUGGUGGGGGUUGGAAAGUUUCGGCGGUUGGGGAUGGACCCGCGGCUUAUCAGCUUGUUGGUGGGGUAGUGGCUUACCAAGGCUUUGACGGGUAGCCGGCCUGAGAGGGUGACCGGCCACAUUGGGACUGAGAUACGGCCCAGACUCCUACGGGAGGCAGCAGUGGGGAAUAUUGCACAAUGGGCGGAAGCCUGAUGCAGCAACGCCGCGUGCGGGAUGACGGCCUUCGGGUUGUAAACCGCUUUCGCCUGUGACGAAGCGUGAGUGACGGUAAUGGGUAAAGAAGCACCAGCUAACUACGUG
rnacentral:rRNA from 1 species